rnacentral:rRNA from 1 species
GUCGAGCGGACAGAAGGGAGCUUGCUCCCGGAUGUUAGCGGCGGACGGGUGAGUAACACGUGGGUAACCUGCCUGUAAGACUGGGAUAACUCCGGGAAACCGGAGCUAAUACCGGAUAGUUCCUUGAACCGCAUGGUUCAAGGAUGAAAGACGGUUUCGGCUGUCACUUACAGAUGGACCCGCGGCGCAUUAGCUAGUUGGUGAGGUAACGGCUCACCAAGGCGACGAUGCGUAGCCGACCUGAGAGGGUGAUCGGCCACACUGGGACUGAGACACGGCCCAGACUCCUACGGGAGGCAGCAGUAGGGAAUCUUCCGCAAUGGACGAAAGUCUGACGGAGCAACGCCGCGUGAGUGAUGAAGGUUUUCGGAUCGUAAAGCUCUGUUGUUAGGGAAGAACAAGUGCAAGAGUAACUGCUUGCACCUUGACGGUACCUAACCAGAAAGCCACGGCUAACUACGUGCCAGCAGCCGCGGUAAUACGUAGGUGGCAAGCGUUGUCCGGAAUUAUUGGGCGUAAAGGGCUCGCAGGCGGUUUCUUAAGUCUGAUGUGAAAGCCCCCGGCUCAACCGGGGAGGGUCAUUGGAAACUGGGAAACUUGAGUGCAGAAGAGGAGAGUGGAAUUCCACGUGUAGCGGUGAAAUGCGUAGAGAUGUGGAGGAACACCAGUGGCGAAGGCGACUCUCUGGUCUGUAACUGACGCUGAGGAGCGAAAGCGUGGGGAGCGAACAGGAUUAGAUACCCUGGUAGUCCACGCCGUAAACGAUGAGUGCUAAGUGUU